GGCCCCGCCCCUGGCUCCGGCUAGGGCGCGCCCGCCAGAGGACCUCAAAACCUGAAUGUUAGUGUCGUCUGAGUACUAUAUAAUAGUUAAAACUUUCAACAACGGAUCUCUUGGUUCUGGCAUCGAUGAAGAACGCAGCGAAAUGCGAUAAGUAAUGUGAAUUGCAGAAUUCAGUGAAUCAUCGAAUCUUUGAACGCACAUUGCGCCCCUUGGUAUUCCGGGGGGCAUGCCUGUUCGAGCGUCAUUACAACCCUCAAGCUCUGCUUGGUCUUGGGCGUCACCGGUCCCGGUGUGCCUUAAAAUCAGUGGCGGCGCCAUCUGGCUCUAAGCGUAGUACAUACUCUCGCUACAGACGUCCGGUGGAUGCUGGCCAGCAACCCCCAACUUAUCAAGGUUGACCUCGGAUCAGGUAGGGAUACCCGCUGAACUUAAGCAUAUCAAUAAGCGGAGGAA
rnacentral:rRNA from 1 species